rnacentral:rRNA from 1 species
CCUACGGGAGACAGGAGUGAGGAAUAUUGGUCAAUGGGCGCUAGCCUGAACCAGCCAAGUAGCGUGAAGGAUGACGGCCCUAUGGGUUGUAAACUUCUUUUAUAGGGGAAUAAAGUGCAGUAUGUAUACGGCUUUGCAUGGACCUUAUGAACAAGGAUAGGCUAACUCCGUGCCAACAGCCGCGGUAAUACGGAGGGUCCGAGCGUUAUCCGGCUUGAUUGGGUUGAUAGGGAGCGUAGGCGGGUUGUUAAGUCAGUUGUGAAAGUUUGCGGCUCCACCGUAAAAUUGCAGUUGAUACUGGCAUCCUUGAGUCCAGUAGAGGUAGGCGGACUUCCUUGUGUAGCGG